rnacentral:rRNA from 1 species
CCUACGGGUGGCAGCAGUGGGGAAUAUUGCACAAUGGGGGAAACCCUGAUGCAGCGACGCCGCGUGAGUGAAGAAGGAAUUCGUUAUGUAAAGCUCUAUUAGCAGGGAAGAAAAUGACGGUACCUGAGUAAGAAGCCCCGGCUAACUACGUGCCAGCAGCCGCGGUAAGAUGCAGGGGGCAAGCGUUAUCCGGAUUUACGGGGGGUAAAGGGAGCGUAGACGGUAGUGCAAGUCUGGAGUGAAUUGCGGGGGUUCAACCCCCGGACUGCUCUGGAAACUGUACGGCUGGAGUGCAGGAGAGGUAAGUGGAAUUCCUGGUGUAGCGGUGAAAUGCGUAGAUAUUAGGAAGAACACCAGUGGCGAAGGCGGCUUACUGGACUGUAACUGACGUUGAGGCUCGAAAGCGUGGGGAGCAAACAGGAUUAGAUACCCCGGUAGUC